rnacentral:tRNA from 1 species
GCCUCGGUAGCUCAGCUGGUAGACGCUGACCAAAAGCAUUCGCCUCGUAAGCGAAAGGUCGAGGGUUCGAUGCCCUCCCGGGGCU